rnacentral:rRNA from 1 species
UACGUAGGGUGCGAGCGUUGUCCGGAAUUAUUGGGCGUAAAGGGCUUGUCGCGUCUGCUGUGAAAUCCCGGGGCUUAACCCCGGGCUUGCAGUGGGUACGGGCAGGCUAGAGUGUGGUAGGGGAGACUGGAAUUCCUGGUGUAGCGGUGGAAUGCGCAGAUAUCAGGAGGAACACCGAUGGCGAAGGCAGGUCUCUGGGCCAUUACUGACGCUGAGAAGCGAAAGCGUGGGGAGCGAACAGG